UACGUAGGGUGCAAGCGUUGUCCGGAAUUUAUUGGGCGUAAAGAGCUCGUAGGCGGUCUGUCGCGUCUGCUGUGAAAACUCGGGGCUUAACCCCGGGCCUGCAGUGGGUACGGGCAGACUAGAGUGCGGUAGGGGAGACUGGAAUUCCUGGUGAGCGGUGAAAUGCGCAGAUAUCAGGAGGAACACCGGUGGCGAAAGGCGG
rnacentral:rRNA from 1 species